AACCCCAAUAGCGUUUAUAGGUAAAAAAACUCAUUGUUGCCCUUUCAACAGUGCCUCCUUCUCCUCCCCGACAGCUUUGCGUCCCGCAUCCACUCGCUUUGGUCGCGCAAAUUUGCGUGUCGCGAGAUUUCCCCCAAUCGCCCCAGCGCGCCCGCCCGCAAUUUCUUUCCCACGAUUCCCGCAUUCUUGCCUCGUGCGCAGUAGUGUUGGUGGUGGAAGGCAGGAGACGCUCGAGCGGCGGUGGACGAGGCGGGGGGGGGGGGGGGGGGGGGGGGGGGGGGGGGGGGGGGGAGGGGUAUUGGUGGAAGUGUUGCUGGUGGUGCACAUUUAUGAAGCCCGGUGCGGAGCACGGAGGCCAUGAACGCCUGGUGCUGCUCGUGCAAAAUGGCCCUGUCGAGGUCGCUAUGGCCUGCGCCGGUGGACGAGCCCUUGGUGUUGGCCAUGCGGAGCCGGGACGUCGUCUGUGUAUGACCUGCAAGAGAAGAAGGGAAUGGCGGGGUCAGGUGGUGUGGUGUGGUGGUGGCCACGACUAUGUUGCCAUUGAAGAAUAAAAGGAAUAAUCUACCCACACAUUGUCAACGUCUCUCUAUCCUGCUUGGAGGAAUCCUCUCGUGGGGACUCCAUUGUUACAUCCGGAGAAGGUUAUUGUUGACCGGAAAGGAAACAUCAAGGUCUCUGAUUUGGUCUCGGUGCUUUACCAUCAUAUCUUAGGGUAUAUGAUAAAUAAUUUUCUAGACUGUGAAAUGAUUUCAGCAAGUUGAUCGCUCAUUGUAUUGCAUGAUAUAUUUACUUUCAUAUUGAUGGAUUGUUGCAUACAACCUGUGGUAGCCCUUACAUUGCCCUUGAGGUGAAGAAAGCCUGACCACUCCCAGGCCAAACAAUUUUUGGUGUCCAGUUAUUAAUUUCUUGUGCCAAAUGCUUGCAGUUUCUGUAGAACAGAAGAUACGAUGUAUCAUUAUCAGAUAUUUGGUCUAGUGGUGUGACUAUUUAUAUAAUGCUCGUAUGAUAUCUUC